UUCUCUGGUGAAGGAUGACAAAUGAUCAGCUUGUGGGGACUGUGCGGGUUAUCAAACACCCAGAAAUAUUUGAGGGGGAAAAUUGCCUCCAAACACAGAUUAGUUUACUAAAAAUAGCAUCAGGAAUGACUCUUAUGUCAGAUGGUGUGGAAUGAUGUAAGAAACAAAGCCUGUUUGAGAGCCUCUAUUACAAGGGAUGUAUGGGAUGCUGCUGCAAUAAUAAUUUAUAUGGUUGCCUGCUAGCAGGUUGAUAUAUUUGUUACCUACAAAGAGUGUCCAUGCUCUUGGAGGGAAAAAGCUGAAAAUUUGUCAAAAACUUCUUUGGAAAAGACAAGAAAAUUUGUUCUCAAAUUCUGACAAAAUAGGUUGUCCAUUUCAGAAGGAGGGAGGGGCUCUCUAAGGAGAAUUUUAUUCCCAGUUGCUCCUUCUGUGAGGUUUCAUGGGCCAUGUUGACUUUGGGAGUGGAAGAGGACACAAGGUUUUCAAUUUGACUGUCAAGGUUUGGACAUGAAAUUCUGGUUGAACCGAAGGAGAUGAGACAGGCAAGCUUACACGUGCAGCUCCAGGAGGGUGGGAAAGACAUCCUGGAAGAACUGGAAAAUCACCCCUGGAAAUGAAGAAAAGGAGACAUGAAACAACUUUCAGAAUUGAUACUUGCUGUUCAGGUGUGAAAAUACAUGACUACAAUGAGGAUGCACUUUUUGAUUAAUAUUUUCAACUAAAAGCUAGCUGAAUGAUAAGUGGCAGGGGAAAGCACCAUGAUGUGGUUCCCAAGUCUGUGAACACACACUUAACAUGCCUCUGGACACAAGGGGUAAAAGAAGAUUGAGGUUGGCAUGAAGUAGCAAAAAAAACCAGCAUCUGCCUUUAGUCAGGGGAGCUGUUGCCAUCAUUAUCAAACAGAAAAUCCUAGGAAUUGGUUUUGCUCUCAGGACAUGUAGUGUUUGUUCUUAUAAACAGAAAUAUGUUUUAAGGUGUUCAUAUGUAGUGAAAGGGGUGACUGUGGGAGAAACUGGAAACCCACUUCAGAAAUCUUACUUACUCCUGUUUUCAAAGGGAGCUGAGUGCAAACUGGGACCAGAGGAGAUUUGUGGCUAAUUUGGGAUCCAAACAUGUACUCAGGGUCAAAGGCUGGUAAAAUUUCCUGGCAUUCGCUGACUCAGUAGCAAUGCAGAAGGUUUAUGGAAACACCCUUCACUGCGCAUUUUUCUGGCAAACAGAAGGGAUGGGUUCAUUUUCCUGGGAAGAUGACUCUAAAUUUUCUGUGGCAUUUCCCUGUAUUUGGAAAAACCACAUCCUCCUGUCAGGAGUGCUCCUGAGCCCCUUGCAGAACUGCUGGAGAGUUUCUGAGAGCCCAAAGCAGGGCUGACAGCCCUCCCACUGAAAAUUCUCAUGCUGAAGAAGCUGCUCAUCAACUCUGCCAUUUCAGCAAAUGACAUUCUCAAGGGUUUCUUCUUUUGGCCUUCUCUUUUAAUAGUAUUUUUUCUACGCUACCAGAGGUACUUUCUGUUCCCCAUUAAAUCUCCUGAAGUGUUGUUCUCCCCAGGGGGAAACAAGGAACCCAGAGAUGCUUCAGGAGGCUUCACAUGGUCCUUGCUGAUAUGCCAUGCAACAAGAUGUGUGGAUGUGGCAUUUGAAGACCUGGUUUAGUGGUGGACCUGGCAGAGCUGGACUCAAUGGUCUCAAGGGUCUCUCCCUAAUGAAAUGAUCCUGUGAUUCUAAGAUGAUGUGAGACCUCUGUAGAAGUGGACAAGCUGAUACAGACCUGGCUUUUCCUGGCAGCCUGCUCAGAAGGUGCAGCUGUGAAAGAGGAAACAUCUCCUGAUCUGACUUAUAUUAACAGUGACCCUCUGAGCCACUGUUAAAGCAGCAGAACAAAAGACAUCUGGGAGAGAUCUGCAGUCACCUGCUGUGACAGUGGGACACGGGGCUCUGAAAGCUCUGAUCCACUAUGCUUUCCACCUAUUUCUCUGGAGAAACCACUUCAGUGUGUGAAAAGGUGUUUAAAUAAAAAGCUGUGCUUCAUGUUAAAAAGGGAGGAAAUUCCCGUUUCCUUGCUUGUGUGCCAUCCUGUUGGUCCUGGGUCUGCCUGACAGAUGCAUUCCUCCCUGAAAACCUCCCUGCUAAUCGUGAGUAGCAGAUGCCAGUCUUCCUCAGCACAUGUUGGGAUGUAAUGUAGCC